GAUGAAAGAACGUAGCGAAAUGCGAUAAGUAAUGUGAAUUGCAGAAUUCAGUGAAUCAUCGAAUCUUUGAACGCACAUUGCGCCCGCCAGCAUUCUGGCGGGCAUGCCUGUUCGAGCGUCAUUUCAACCCUCGCAGCCCAUCUGGGCAGCGGUGUUGGGGACCGGCACCACCGGCGAAGCCCUUAGGGGCCCAGCCGGCGCCGCCCCCGAAAUACAGUGGCGGUCUCGCUGCAGCCUCCCUUGCGUAGUAGCACACCUCGCACCGGAGCGCAGCGCGGCCACGCCGUAAAACCCCCGACUUUCUGAGUUUGACCUCGAAUCAGGUAGGAAUACCCGCUGAACUUAAGCAUAUCAAUAAGCGGAGGA
rnacentral:misc_RNA from 1 species